UGUCUAAUUGUGGUUGCUUGAGGCCUGUUUUAACAGAAUUGUUUCUUCAACAGUUCAUGUGAUGAUCAAGAAGAAGUCAGCCAAAUGACUGAGGAAAAGUUUAAUAAUGACUCCCUAGCCACACUCAAUGACAAUCAGUGGAUUGAUGAUGAGAUUUUGGAACUGGAAUUCAGGAAUAUCUAUGCUUCACUACGUCCUGCAUUACAGAGAAAAAUUUACUUCUUUCCUGUUUUGUUUAGUAACAAACUGGACAGAAGGGAGACGAGGAGACGGACGCAAGUGCAGCAAAGGUGAAUACAACGAAGCCAUAUCCUGGGUGAAAGAUGGGAGGAUCUUUAGUCGAGAAUAUCUUCGAGAAUAUGUGUCAACAUGUGAAUGGGUAAGAGCUUAUUUAUCUUCAAAAGUUUUGUCUUACAUAAUGUAUUGGACCUUUCCAACAGAGGGUCUGGGAAGAAAUGGCAGAGUUGGGUGUCAAAACCUAGUCAAAAUCUGGACUUUAAUCUGAUUAAACAGGCCAUUCAUGCUUAAAAACCCUUCAGUGUAGUUGUAGUAUAAGAGAAGGCAAAAAUUCCUCCACAGAUGUGGAAGACUUAUUGACAGUUAUUGAUACUUAAUUGCAAUUGUUGCUGCCAAGGGUGUUAAGACCAGUUAUUAGG